rnacentral:rRNA from 1 species
AUGGAGGGCGUGGAGGGCCUGAUGAGGGGUUUGAAGCUGUCAGCGGUGGAGAGUAAGGGUGUGAAGUUAGGGCAGGAGGAGAAGGGGAAAUCUCAAGACUGCGACAUGGAUGAUCCCCAAGCUGUGGGGAAGCUGUUCUCGGAAAAACCUAAGAUUGCGGGGAUAGUAGGGCAAACUUUGGGUAGGAUAUGGUGCCCAAUUAAAGGACUGGAGUGCAAGGAACUUGAGACAAAUAUCUUCAUGUUUACCUUCCGGCAGGCAUCAGGUUGGAGACGAGCUUUGGAGGAUGGUCCCUGGUGGUUUGACAAUGAGCUUUUAGUCAUGGAGGAGUUCGACCCGGAGAAGACGGUGGAGGAGUAUGAUUUCAACCUCAUACCCAUGUGGCUUCGGAUCUUCGGCCUUCCCCUGGGACAUAUGAAUAGAACCACUGGAGAG